GGCCAGACUCCUACGGGAGGCAGCAGUGGGGAAUAUUGCACAAUGGGGGGAACCCUGAUGCAGCGACGCCGCGUGGGUGAAGGAGCACCUCGGUGCGUAAAGCCCUAUCGGCAGGGAAGAAACAGACGGUACCUGACUAAGAAGCCCCGGCUAACUACGUGCCAGCAGCCGCGGUAAUACGUAGGGGGCAAGCGUUAUCCGGAUUUACUGGGUGUAAAGGGAGCGUAGACGGCGAUGCAAGCCAGAUGUGAAAGCCCGGGGCUCAACCCCGGGACUGCAUUUGGAACUGUGUGGCUGGAGUGUCGGAGAGGCAGGCGGAAUUCCUAGUGUAGCGGUGAAAUGCGUAGAUAUUAGGAGGAACACCAGUGGCGAAGGCGGCCUGCUGGGCUUUUACUGACGCUGAGGCUCGAAAGUGUGGGGAGCAAACAGGAUUAGAUACCCCUGUAA
rnacentral:rRNA from 1 species